rnacentral:rRNA from 1 species
UUUAAAUUUAAAUUAGUCGACUUGAGUAGUAGUAGUUAUGAUCUUGAAACUUAAAGAAUUUGGCGGUAUUUUAGUCUAUUUAGAGGAAUUUGUCCCGUAAUCGAUAGUCCACGUUAGACCUUACUUAGAUUUAUUCAUGUAUACCGCCGUUUAUUGAAAAUCUUUAUAGGGAUUAAUUUUCUUAAUAUAAAAUAUUAUAAUAUUUCAGGUCAAGGUGCAGUUUAUAUUUAAGAGGAGAUGAAUUACAAUAUUAAGAUAAAUAGACGGAAUUUAUAUUGUAAUUUAUAAAUAAAGGUGGAUUUAAUAGUAAUGUUAGAUAAGAUAGAGAUGAUGAUUUAAGCUCUAAAAUGUGC